AUAAAAAUCGCCAGCUGGUAUACUUUGUUGCCAGUUUUGAAAACUUGGAGCCAACUAGCUUCUUGAUUUCCUCUACCUAAAUUGAAAUCAUUUUCAAUUUCAAUUUAACUUUCUUUCUUAUGCACUGUACAUCAUUUAACAUGAUAGACUAAGGAAGUUAUAGCAUAGGGUUUAUAUACAUGAAAAAAGGUGUACUUUUCUAUUCUUUGUCAGUAUUUCAUAAGGAUACGUAUACAAUAAAACUAUAACAAUAAAGAUAAAAACAAAGCAGCUGUUGUUCCACAAAACAGCGUAUUGCAUGUUUUUAUUUGAAUGUUUAUGUCUUCAAACAGUGACUACUGGGACUUAAAUAAUGACUAUUGAUCAAUGUUCCAGUCCUUAUACUUAGCUUAUGGUCUGUAUAUGCUUCAUAAUUAUGAUAAUAGAGAAAAUGUUUUUAAAUAAAAAAAAAAAAAAGAAUAAAAAAAAAACAAAUAUUAAAUGACUACUAGAAAAUAAUGUGUGUUUAGAUAUACAGAACAGUAAAAUAUUUGUAUCAAAAAUAAAGAAUACAGAAAAUGAUGACCCAAGGACCUAACCCAUCCUGCUACCAAGACCCUCUUAAAUUUGCCCAUAACUCAAUAGACCUCCUAAACCUAUAAAUUAUGUCAGAAGUAUGUAGACAUAUCUUGAAUUAAAAUUGAGUUAUCUUCCUUUAUUCCGGUGUACUCAUUCUUCAGAGGAUUAUAUACAGUGCGCAAUAGAAUUAAAUACGAUCAACAAUAGCGACCGGUUUUGUUUUUUUCAUAAUAAACGUCGUUGACACCUCGCUAUCGCUCGGGAUAAAAUAAUCAAUUAUAAAUGCCCAACCCAUGGUUAAAUGAAAUCAAAUCUACGGCUGCCAUGAAUUAUUUCUAAAUUCAAUGCACGACAAGCGUGUAUCAGAAUAAAGUUAUAACUGUGUUUAAUGCGAAGCUUGGCUACGUGAAAUGUUAACCUGGUGACGAAAGUUUUAAGUAGACCAAGCCUCAAGCGUAAAUCCAUACUACGCGAUACAAUGGUCCCUUUUGUUGCAUCUAAAAAGUAUGACAUCAUAUAUCAGCGUAAGAAUGGUUGAAAAAAAAAGAUUUGUACGUGAAAAUUGUAAAUAUUUUGAUUAUUAUCAAAGAAGACACUUAUCAGUAAAUUCUGGAAUUGAAACUGGUGGACUCUGUUAGGUACACACGUUGAAUGAGAAUUUAACGAAGAUUGUCAUUCAAUCAGAAUCAUCGAUGCAACAUCAUUGCAUUUGAAUAAACGGUAUACAUUUAUUUCACAAUAUAAGAUUUAUUCGAUAGACUUAAUCGGUGUGUGUUCGUUUUUAGAUAAAAAUAAUAUCUUAAUCUUUGCAAGCAAAUAACACUUUAAAUUGUGUUGUUGCAUUGUUAUUGUGGCUCAUCCAGCAUUUGAUUUUUUUAUUGAACCUUGUCAAUGAAAACAUCAACAAUCUCCAUUUCGUUACUUGCACAACCAACUAAUGCAAUCCAACAAUGCAUUCUGAUUGAUCAUGUUGUGGAUGCCUUCUAAUUCAUUUAAGUAUAUAUGUUUUUAUCUAUACCAUCACUGAUGAAUAGCUAUGUUGCUUGUGUUUCGAGUAACGAUGCGCACAUAAAUAAAACCAAUAACAAUAUUAUUCAGAUUGAUUCUAACAAUUAUCAAUUUAAUAUGGCAACAAUCUACGUUACAUGUGUUCAUAUUGUCGUAAAAGUUUUUUUAAACGUUACGCGUAUUUUUGGGCUUAAACAGUAUACAAUGUUGUUUUAAAGUAUAAGCAUGCAUGUAUUUUGGUUUCUAAUUUCAGAUAUUAGACUGCUCUUAACCAUUUAAUGACUAUUUGUAAUUAAAAACCUUUACGUAAAUAGGACAAAUAUAAUCUCUAUACCUAAACAAGUUGUCUUAUUGUUAUGAAUAUAAAUAAUUGUAUA